rnacentral:rRNA from 1 species
GACGAACGCUGGCGGCGCGCCUAACACAUGCAAGUCGAACGAGCGAGAGAGAGCUUGCUUUCUCGAGCGAGUGGCGAACGGGUGAGUAACGCGUGAGGAACCUGCCUCAAAGAGGGGGACAACAGUUGGAAACGACUGCUAAUACCGCAUAAGCCCACGGCUCGGCAUCGAGCAGGGGGAAAAGGAGCAAUACGCUUUGAGAUGGCCUCGCGUCCGAUUAGCUAGUUGGUGGGGUAACGGCCCACCAAGGCGACGAUCGGUAGCCGGACUGGGAGGUUGAACCGCCACAUUGGGACUGAGACACGGCCCAGACUCCUACGGGAGGCAGCAGUGGGGAAUAUUGCACAAUGGGGGAAACCAUGAUGCAGCGACGCCGCGUGGAGGAAGAAGGUCUUCGGAUUGUAAACUCCUGUUGUUGGGGAAGAUAAUGACGGUACCCAACAAGGAAGUGACGGCUAACUACGUG